CGUAGGAUCCGAGCGUUGUCCGGAUUUACUGGGUGUAAAGGGUGCGCAGGCGGACUGGUAAGUCAGUGGUGAAAUCUCGUCGCUUAACGACGAAACUGCCUUUGAUACUAUCAGUCUUGAGUCCGGUAGAGAUCUGUGGAAUUCCGAGUGUAGCAGUGAAAUGUGUAGAUAUUCGGAAGAACACCAGUGGCGAAGGCAGCAGAUUGGGCCGGUACUGACGCUCAUGCACGAAAGCGUCGGGGAUCAAACAGGAUUAGAUACCCUGGUAGUCCACGGCCCUAAACGAUGUACACUUGAUGUCGGACCUGUAAGGGUCGGGUGUCGGAGCUAACGGCGUUAAGUGUACCACCUGGGGAGGUACGCGUCGCAAGGGUG
rnacentral:rRNA from 1 species